rnacentral:sRNA from 1 species
AACAAAGAGCAAAGAACGGCAGAUUACUGAGGAAGACUUAGAGGGCAAAACAGAGGAAGAAAUAGAAAUGAUGAAGUUAAUGGGAUUUGCCUCCUUUGACUCCACAAAAGGUAAGAAGGUGGAUGGCUCUGUAAAUGCCUAUGCCAUAAAUGUCUCUCAGAAGAGGAAGUACAGGUAUGCAUAGCCCCCAUUAUUAUGUUUGAACGAAUAAAUCAGUUUUUUACUUCAAACUUUAUUAUGAGAUAAUCAUGUUUGUAGGAAAUGUAGCAGUUUUCCAUACUGUUCCUUGUUUGAAUGAAAUAUUCAUUGCUUAUCUUCUGGUGUGAAAAUUGUU